rnacentral:rRNA from 1 species
CACGUAGGGGGCAAGCGUUAUCCGGAUUUACUGGGCGUAAAGCGCGUGUAGGCGGCUUGGCAAGUUGAAUGUGAAAGCCCACGGCUCAACCGUGGAAGCGCAUCCAAAACUGCUUCGCUUGAGUCUCGGAGAGGAAGUGGAAUGCUUGGUGUAGAGGUGAAAUUCGUAGAUAUUCGCAAGAACACCGGUGGCGAAGGCGGCCAACUGGUCCGGAUCUGACGCUGAGGCGCGAAAGCGUGGGGAGCAAACAGG